AUGGCAACUAAAUUACAAAUAAAUAAAAUUGACCCUUUCCCAUUAGAAACAUUGGAAAAUAAGGACAAGACAUUUAGGAAUAUAAUUAAGGCACUGAAGGAAAAUGGUAUUAAAAAGAUUGGGGAUAAAAUAAAAGAUAAAUGUGGCCAAGGGAACUGGAUAGCAUGGUUAGGUUUGUCCAGUAAAGCCCAGGCCAUGAAAAGAAGAGAAGCAGGUGAAACCCCCCUGGAUAGAAUAAUUAGAAGGAAAUUAGAAACAGAUAAAGGUAUGAUUGGGCUAUGGUAUGAUGUACUAAUUACCUUAACUUAUAAUACGAAAGAAACGCUUACAAAGAUCUGGAAACAGGAAAAAAACUUUACUGAGAAACUAAUUGGGUCAUGGAUCAAUAAUAUUCAUAAAAUUAAUCAUAUAAGGGUCAAAGAAACACAAAGGAAAAUAAUCACAAAAUGGUAUAGAACCCCCCUACAAUUGGCUCAUAUAACGGGAAGUACCUCGAACAAAUGUUGGCAUAAAUGUGGGGGAAUAGGUUCAUUCUCCCACAUGUGGUAGGACUGUAGAAAAAUUCAAAUCUUUUAUAGCAAAAUAAGAAAAGAAAUGGAAGAAAUAAUAGGGAAAGAAUUAAUAUGGGACAAAGCCAGAUUUAUGUCCCUCACAAUAAAGGUAAGGGAAGAUAACAAUAAUUGGACCGAGAUUCUAAAAUAUAUGACAGCCGCAAUACAAGCCACAAUAGCCCGAGAAUGGAGGGAUGAGACAAAAUGGAACGUAGAAAUUUGGUGGUCUUAUAUAUCAGAACAUAUAAUCAAUGAUUUCAUUAAUCAAAGGAAAAGAAAAUAUACAAAUUGUCUAAAAGAACCUGACUGGUUCAGGAAAUGGUCAGUCCUAAUUAACAAAAUAGAUGGAGACGAAAGAUACACCACCUUGAACCAGGCGUUCCAUUGUAAAAUGAUACAAUGAUAAUAUAUUGAAUUGCUGUUCCAGGGGGGAGGGGGAACGGGGGAGGGGAGGGGGGUGGGUGUUACAUUCCAAAGGAUCGUUUAAAAUGUCAUUUAAGCAUUACUUACUUUUGGUAUUAUGUAUAUUGAAAUAAGACAUGCAUCGCUAAAAAAAAAAUCAAAUUAGAGCAACAGUUGAACAGUGACAUAAGUAAACCCUAUUGAUUCAUUGGGUCUACUGUAAUCAGGACUUACAAUACAAUUUAGAUUUUUUAUUCUAAAGAAAGUGUAUUUUGGUAAAAAGAGUUAUUGUGUUCAUGCCUCUGUAUUACAAACUUGAAAGAUCUGUAUUACUUUAUACUGCUCUUUGAAACAAAGAUCAGAAUUUUAAUUUUUCUGUUUAUUGUAUUUACUCGAAUCUAACACUCACUUUUUUGGCUAAAUCACCUUGCCAAAAUUAGGGUACGCAUUAGAUUUGUGUAAUACAUUAAUCUUAGUGCUGAGCCAAAGCAAUAGGGGCAGCUGCUUCAGGAGCACUUGGAGCUUCUAUUUGAGGGAUGCCACCUGUAAUUUAAUUGUCAUGGCUCAAUGCUAUGUAAUACUGGGAUUUGUAGUUUGAUGAGGCAUCCGCACUCUUUGACAGAGAAACUCAAGGCCUUGUAAAACUACAGUCCCUAUGAUUCCAUAGCAUUGAACCAAGGAAGUUAAAGUGGAUUCAUUCUACAGCAUAGAUGCAUCCCAAGGUUUCUUUUCCAUUGCUGAAAGUGUAGGUGUUCCAACACAAUUGUUUUUAAAGAAGAAAUUCUAAGUAG
rnacentral:lncRNA from 1 species